AGUGAACGCUGGCGGUAGGCCUAACACAUGCAAGUCGAACGGCAGCACAGGAGAGCUUGCUCUCUGGGUGGCGAGUGGCGGACGGGUGAGGAAUACAUCGGAAUCUACUCUGUCGUGGGGGAUAACGUAGGGAAACUUACGCUAAUACCGCAUACGACCUACGGGUGAACGCAGGGGACCUUCGGGCCUUGCGCGAUUGAAUGAGCCGAUGUCGGAUUAGCUAGUUGGCGGGGUAAAGGCCCACCAAGGCGACGAUCCGUAGCUGGUCUGAGAGGAUGAUCAGCCACACUGGAACUGAGACACGGUCCAGACUCCUACGGGAGGCAGCAGUGGGGAAUAUUGGACAAUGGGCGCAAGCCUGAUCCAGCCAUACCGCGUGGGUGAAGAAGGCCUUCGGGCUGUAAAGCCCUUUUGUUGGGAAAGAAAUCCAGUUGGCUAAUACCCGGUUGGGAUGACGGUACCCAAAGAAUAAGCACCGGCUAACUUCGUGCCAGCCGCCGCGGUAA
rnacentral:rRNA from 1 species